AGAGUUUGAUCCUGGCUCAGGAUGAACGCUAGCGACAGGCUUAACACAUGCAAGUCGAGGGGCAGCGGAGGCGAGUGCUUGCACUUGCCAGACGGCGACCGGCGCACGGGUGAGUAACACGUAUGCGACCUGCCCGUAGCAGGGGGAUAAGCGGAAGAAAUUCCGUCUAAUACCGCGUAAUAUCUUUCGGGGGCAUCCCUGAGGGAUUAAAGGAAGCGAUUCCGGCUACGGAUGGGCAUGCGGCGCAUUAGCUAGUUGGCGGGGCAACGGCCCACCAAGGCGACGAUGUCUAGGGGUUCUGAGAGGAAGGUCCCCCACACUGGUACUGAGACACGGACCAGACUCCUACGGGAGGCAGCAGUGAGGAAUAUUGGUCAAUGGGCGCGAGCCUGAACCAGCCAAGUCGCGUGAGGGAUGACGGCCCUACGGGUUGUAAACCUCUUUUGUCGGGGAGCAAAUUCCGCCACGCGUGGCGGAGUCGAGAGUACCCGAAGAAAAAGCAUCGGCUAACUCCGUGCCAGCAGCCGCGGUAAUACGGAGGAUGCGAGCGUUAUCCGGAUUUAUUGGGUUUAAAGGGUGCGUAGGCGGACUGUCAAGUCAGCGGUAAAAUACGGGGGCUCAACCUCCGCCCGCCGUUGAAACUGACGGUCUUGAGUGGGCGAGAAGUAUGCGGAACGCGUGGUGUAGCGGUGAAAUGCAUAGAUAUCACGCAGAACUCCGAUUGCGAAGGCAGCAUACCGGCGCCCAACUGACGCUGAAGCACGAAAGCGUGGGUAUCGAACAGGAUUAGAUACCCUGGUAGUCCACGCAGUAAACGAUGAAUACUAGCUGUCCGGGGCGAAUGAGCCCUGGGGUGGCACAGCGAAAGCGUUAAGUAUUCCUCCUGGGGAGUACGCCCGGCAAGGGUGAAAGUCAAAAGAAUUGACCGGGGGGCCCGCACAAACGGGAGGAACAUGUGGUCUAAUUCGAUGAUACGCGAGGAACCUCACCCGAGCUCAAACGACACAAGGAACGUACAUGAAAGGGUUCGGCUGUACGGAGCAUGUGUGCGAGGCGCUGCAUGGUAGUCGUCAGCUCGUGCCGUGAGGUGUGGGGUUAAGUGCCAUAACGAGCGCAACCCCCAUCGACAGUUGAUAACAGGUCAGGAUGAGGACUCUGUCGAGACGUCCGGCGCAAGCUGCGAGGAAGGCGGGGGUGACGUCAAAUCAGCACGGCCCUUACGUCCGGGGCGACACACGUGUUACAAUGGCAGGUACAGCGGGAAGCCACCGGGCGUCAGGGAGCGGAACCCGAAAGCCUGUCUCAGUUCGGAUGGGAGUCUGCACCCCGACUCCAUGAAGCUGGAUUAGCUAGUAAUCGUGCAUCAGCCACGGCGCGGUGAAUAAGUUCCCGGGCCUGGCACACACCGCCCGUCA
rnacentral:rRNA from 1 species